rnacentral:rRNA from 1 species
UACGUAGGUGGCAAGCGUUGUCCGGAUUUAUUGGGCGUAAAGCGCGCGCAGGCGGUUCCUUAAGUCUGAUGUGAAAGCCCACGGCUUAACCGUGGAGGGUCAUUGGAAACUGGGAGACUUGAGUGCAGAAGAGGAAAGUGGAAUUCCAAGUGUAGCGGUGAAAUGCGUAGAGAUUUGGAGGAACACCAGUGGCGAAGGCGACUUUCUGGUCUGCAACUGACGCUGAGGCGCGAAAGCAUGGGGAGCAAACAGG